AAAUAAUAUAAUUUAAUUUAAUUAGUAUUAAUUAAUUUAUAAUAUAAAAUUUUAAAUUAAAAUUUAUUAAGUGAAAUUUUUAAAUUUUAAUAAAAUUUAUUGUUUUUAAUGAAGUUAAAAAAUUUAAUGUAUAAACUAGGAUUAGAUACCCUAUUAUUUUAAAUGUAUUUUAUUAUACUAAAUUAGUAUUAGUUAUGUUCUUUAAAAUUAAAAAUUUUGGCGGUAUUUUAGUCUAUUCAGAGGAACCUGUUCUAUAAUCGAUAAUCCACGAUUUAAUUUACUUUUUUUAUUAGUUUGUAUAUCGUCGUAAUUUGAAUAUUUUAUAAGAAAAAUAAUAUUCAAAAUUUUAAAUAAUAAAAUAAAUCAGAUCAAGGUGCAGUUUAUAAAAAAGAAGAAAUGGGUUACAAUAAAUAAAUUUAAGGAUUAUUAUAAUUAAAAUAAUAUGAAUUUGGAUUUGAAAGUAAAUUUAAUUAAUUAAUUAAAUUGAUUUUAGCUCUAAAAU
rnacentral:rRNA from 1 species